rnacentral:rRNA from 1 species
CUCAAAGGAAUUGACGGGGGCCCGCACAAGCGGUGGAGCAUGUGGUUUAAUUCGACGCAACGCGAAGAACCUUACCGGNGUUUGAACUGUGCAGGGAGUUUGCCAGAGAUGGAAGCGUCCUCUUCGGAGGUCUGUACAGAGGUGCUGCAUGGCUGUCGUCAGCUCGUGUCGUGAGAUGUUGGGUUAAGUCCCGCAACGAGCGCAACCCUUGUCUGUAGUUGCCAUCAGGUCAAGCUGGGCACCCUACGGAGACUGUCGGCGAAAAGCCGGAGGAAGGUGGGGAUGACGUCAAGUCCUCAUGGCCUUUAUGUCCCGGGCUACACACGUGCUACAAUGGGUGGUACAAAGAGCAGCCAACUCGCAAGAGUGAGCGAAUCUCAAAAAGCCAUCCUCAGUUCGGAUUGCAGUCUGCAACUCGACUGCAUGAAGGUGGAAUCGCUAGUAAUCGUGGAUCAGCAUGCCACGGUGAAUACGUUCCCGGGCCUUGUACACACCGCCCGUCACAUCACGAAAGUGGGCUGUACUAGAAGCCGCCGAGCUAACCUGCAAGGGAGGCAGGC